AUGGGACUGACAUUUUUCUUAAAACAACCUCGGAAUGGGUGGUUGGAGAGAAAGAUCAAAGAUCCAUGUCUCAUAGGCUGCAUCAGGAAAAAAAACACUGGACCAUCUGAAGCAGGAGAAACCACCACUGAGGAGUACGGUCGAGAGACCUGGAUGAUCUUAAUGCCUCAGUUAGGUCUCUUUGUCUUAGUGUCAGCUCCUCCCCAGCGCUGCACAUAUGCUUUCCUAACCACAAUACAAUUCGAAGCCUCCACCUUGGUUAACAUUUCAUCAUUCACACUCUGAGAAUUAUCAUUUCCUCUAGACGUGCUGACAAAACUCAUUGUUUAUUGCUCACAGCACGUCAGAACUGCUGAUUUUGCUUUGGACUGCAAGAUGUUUGGAAAGCCACAUGCUUUUCCUGCAGCCAGCCCAAUUCCCUCCACGCCGGCCUCUGUUGCUGUGGUUGCUCUCACCCAGGAUGCCAGAUCCUGUCCCCCACAAGUUAGAGCAGAUGAUAAAAGUUGCUUGAAGAAGUGAUGGGUUUCAUAUCUUCAGCAUCAAAUCCACAGAAUCAUGGAAUUCCUUCUGAUAGCCAGAUACACAGCCUCUCUAGCAAAGCUGGCCUGAGUCUUUUCCACCUUGCUUGCCUCCAAGUCUGUGGAUAAGUCCGUCAGAGGAGGGAGCCAGGGAGGAUGAUCUAGAUGUAAGUGCCCACCAUUCACUACCCCAGCAGUGCCUCCUACACCCGAGGGACAUUACUGGGGUCUCUCCCUGGCAGCAAUACUACUCUGGAAAGAUUAUAACUGGGAGGAGGCCCAAAUACAGCACCCAAGUGUUGGCUUUGCUCUGCCCCUCCAAACAACAAACAGGAUGAUUGGAGUGGGAAAUGGGAAAAUGGAGUAGUCCUGUGCUCUCAACCUCUCCAACAAGAAAUGGGAGUAGCACCUGGCUGAUCACCAGCCUGUUAUCAUGCCACAAUCAUGAAUGAUUGCUAAAUGUUGCAGCCAGAGAAAUGUAGAUCAUUAUUAAUUACUGCAUUUCAUAUGACAGGACAUAUAUUUCUCCAUAAGUCACUGGCAUCUAAGCUAACACAGGUAAGACAAAGCUAUUCCUGCAGAUCUGUAUGUUGCCCAUGGCUGCAUGGCGGAGCUCUCAUUUCAGUCCAGGAAAAGGAAGAGCUGAGUUUUUGAUGAAAGCUCAAUUUCUGUGUUGCAGGGCAAGUAGUGUAACAACAUAAUCUGAUCUACGAAACUAUGAGCUAUGAAGACUGUGGGCAGGAGCGUGCUACUGGCAGUACUGUCCUUCCUCACUCCCCACCUCACUGUCUUGCUUUACUGCCUCAGCCUGGCAAGCCCCUGUAGACGUGAGCUGUGUUGCGCAGCUUGUUAUCCCAAAUUUUGUUUGCAUCAUGCUGGAUCUGUCCAGGUGGUUAAGCAAAAGGCAUCUUUUUGUUGUUGUUGUUUAUACCAUGCAAUUGCUAUGUCUUUUAUUAGGCCUUUGCUUUUCCCAUGAGGAAUAAUCUCUGGAAACUUGGAUAGGAUCCCUUGGCUCGCAUUAGAAAAAGGUAAUAAAAUCUUGGGAACCCAAAAUGCUUCACUGUUGUUUUCACCAAACAUCUUUUCCCAUUUUGAAAUGUGCUUCUCUGUUCUAAUUUGUUUCAUUAUUUAGGGAAAACUUCUUCCUAACCUGCCAGUUUUCCUUCUUUCCAGCAGACCUGUGCCCUCCAAGAGCCCCGCAGACCUUAACUGCAUUCCACCACACUUCUGACUCUCUGUAGAGCUACAAGGAAGUCGAUUAUUUCCUCAUUGCUCUGGCUUCUCCAUCUGUCACUUUACGACAUAAUAUUUACUUACCUUUUCAAAGCACUUUAAAUCUCCAUAGGAAUGCAUUAUAAAAGUUCAUUAGAGUUAUUACUGUUCUCCAUUGUGUAAUGCUGAAAAAUGGCUUAUGCAAGCCUGGCUCCUCUGUUGCCUCUCUGACCCCAUCCACUGUCCAGGUGCUGCUGCCUCCUCUGGGGACAGCAGUAAUGCUCCCUUGGUUUCCCAGUCUCUCGGAUCCUACUUAGUCUGAGAUAGGAUAGGAUCCUACUGAGCCUGAGAGAGGGACAACUGUCUAGUCUCC
rnacentral:lncRNA from 1 species